GUUUAUGUAGCUUAAUUAAAGCAUGACACUGAAGAUGCCAAGAUAGAUUUUUGAAUAUCUCAAAAACA
rnacentral:tRNA from 1 species